UUUGGGUUAAUAUCGGAUUUUGAUAGAAAGACUGGGACGCAAAUCUCAGAACGCAAACUUCUGUUACAGAACGAUUGACGAAUAUAAACAGAUAUAUUAUCUGUGUGAAUCACACUAAUUUACUCGAAGGAUUUUAUAAGGCGUCCCUCUGCAGAAGACCAUUUCAACGCAUUCUAGAUGGCAGCUGGAUUUAUUGUCGUAAUUGCUUUAACAACAAACUAUUUCAACGAAACGAGCGUUGAAUUGCGAUGUGAACACAAUAGCAAUCAACGCGUAGCAGUUGGAUUUUACAGAAAAGUCCCAUAUUCAAACGCAUUUGAAAGAACAAUAGCAAUAGGAGGAAAAACAGAAAACUGCACGGUCACGCCUUUACCAGAUAACGUCAAGUGUUAUUGUAUUAGUGAACAAAAUAUGGGCUGCAAGAUUUACCAACAAAGACCUACCAAUGACGGCGAAAAAUGGAAAUGUGCCAUCCCUAGCAAUAGUAUUGCUGUAUUCAGUAACAUUGUUCGUCUGUCCUUUUCUGGUAAGUAUGUGAUCAAAGGCGAUGAACCAACAAGUCCAGUUUAACGUAAAUAAUAAUUAUUAGCCCGAUAAUGUCAGAAUAUUGAAGCUGUGUUAAAAUGUCAGUUAUAUUGAGAAAAAGAUAAAUUAUUACCUAGCUCAAGCAAAAACAAAAACAACGUUAACUAAAAAUGCAUAUUACAUUAAUAUUAUGACAUAAAUGAAAUACAACACGUUGCUUUCAAAUAUGUUAAACAGUGUACUUUGUUUAUAUUGAUUUAGGUGCAAAAUCCUUUGGCGAGAAUACACCUGUUUCUGUUGCUAUGGGCAUCGUCAUCUCUUUAAUGGUGUUCCUUUAACAACUGCAGUUAAUGCGCACAUGAAACAACAAUCACGUAACAUUCUUACUUUAUGCGAUUGA